UCUCUCUCUCUCACACACACACACAAAAACAUUUAUCCCUAUCUCCUUAAAUAUCUUCACAGUCAAUACUAAGUUGAUUCUUCACUGCUUCAUUUUCAAUUUCACCUUCAUGAAUCAUGGGGGAAGGAAUUUAGGUUAAAAACCCAUGUUCUAACAACUUUUUCUCUUGCACCGGCCUCCAUAACAUCUAUCAUUUGUAAAUUUUGUAUGCAUACAGAUCUCUUUUCUGUAAUUAACCACAAAUAUAGGCAUACAUAACUCAAGUUUUUGCAUGCAUACAUAGGUUCAUAGAUACAUACUUAAUACAUGUAUAGCAUAUGUACAUAUAUGCCUGGCUCCCUGUAUGCCAUUUGCAGAGCCCCAUCGGCUCAUCGAUGGCCUCCGUGGAUGGCGUAUGAGGAGCCAAGCAUAUUUUUAUAUUUGUACAUAUAUUAUUUGGCGACUCCAUUCAUAUGGAAUUAAAAUAAAUUAACUAUGAUGCAAAUGACAUGUGCAAGGGUAUUAUAGCCAUUUUAUGAAGACAACGCGUACAAGGGCAACAGUGUAAUUUUGCAAAGAUACAUGUUCAAUCAAUGGAAUGUGAACCAGGGAUGAGUAGUGGCUGAGACCGAUCGCUACCUAGCGCAGAGAAGCAGAUUCUCGAGGAGCAAAGUUUGUUGACGAACCAAUCUUCUUCUUGUGACAGGAAACUCGAGGAUGAAUUUAGUGAAUCGAUCUGCAUCAAAGAGUUAACUAAGAGUAUGUAGGGUUUUGGGAAUUGUAAUUAACCUAGCUUCUAAUCCUUCUUUCUCUUAUGUGUAUUCAAUUUGCUUGUACUUGUUCACAUAAAAAACUGUGACCAUUAUUUU